ACUCAAGUAGCUGGGGGAGAGAAAAAAAGAGAGUAAACGUGGCUCUCACCUGGAAGAGGGAGGAGGAGGAGGAACACAGAGGUGCACGGCGAGGAGCAAAUUACCUGGCAUUAAUCUGGAGGUAACAGCAAGGAGGAUGGAGUGUGGUGGGUGGAGGGAGGGAAGGCUGGUCGCAGGUGCCGACGAGGCACUGGUUCACCUGGCAGAGGACUGGAACUCAAAAGAACAAGCGAAAGGAGAGAGGGACGAAAGGAAAAAGAGUAGAGAGAGGGAUCGAUGCCAGCUCACUGGGGGGGAGAGUCAUACAUCCGAGAGAGCAAUGGAAGCAAGACGGAGACAAAGACGGAGCGAAGUAGUGAAGUAACCCUGCCUUGUCCCCAGCACCGGGGGAAAUCUCCAACUCCAAGGUUAAUUAAGCACUGGAAAUUAGAUCAAGAAGCUUUCCCUUUCCGACUCAUUAACCAAUCACAACGCUUCUUCAAAACAGUUCAGCACUCAUCUCAGAGUGCAGAAUAAUUGUCUGUCAAUGCAGAUCAAAAAUCAAAUCACGCGAUAGACCAGGACUAGCUCCGGCAACAGCCAGAGGCGUAUGUGUGGACAUCCUACCAACAGGGACAAAUUACUGUAGAGCAUGCUCGAAAAUGAUACGGCCUUAUUGUGAAAGUACUUGUUAGUGUGUAUUUAUUGUACUAUCCAUGAAGCAAGAGGGAUUACUUAGGAAUGAAGACAACAGUUUUAGUUUCAGAGUUUAAGAUUAAAAAGUGUGAGUGAACUCAAAAGCACAAGAUGUCAGCAGGACAAAGUAAUUUCAAUAAAAAGAAUCGAUACCCCUUGAAGGUUCUGACAACAGCUGGAAGAAAAUGGAAACCUUGUAAGAGCCGAUGUCUCAUAGGGGCUGAGGCUAUCCGGCCCUUCUCUAAAAGAGCUUCUUUGAAUGCUCCUCCAGCAUAAUCUGAGGGAAAAGACUUUUAAAUAAGACAUUUGUAUUUUUUUUUGUCCAUGUUUUUUUAAUAAAAAGUACCAUUUGAAAGUCAACCAAUCUCCUUCGCCUUUUCAAUUCAAAUUACCAGAUAUUCUAAAGAUGAAAAUCAAAACCAUAUUCCCAUUCUCAGCAUGGUGUUUGAUUUGCAUUAUGAGUUGCAUACAGCUCUGCCCUUUCUGUAUAAACAUUUUGAAUUACAUCUCCUUUCAAGGUUCAUGCAGAAAAGGGUAGGUGGUUUAAGUCACAUCGAGACUCGUCCAAAGCUGAACCUAGAACGCCUCUAGACCUGCACCCCAAUGUAACCACCAGGGAACAAACCUACCGCUUUUGACCCCAGAUCAGUAAUUCUAUCACAUUCACACAGCCGCAGGGCGUUUUACCAACAUACACUGUGCUACUGACAAGGUCACUGCAUGGAAUUCUUUUAUAGAGGAGCAGAGAUCAAGGUCUCAUAGUCACAUCACUCCAGUGUACCAGCAUGUUACACAUACUGAACAUGGCCGACACUGUAAAAGGGGGGGGAAAAAGACAAAGAGGAUUGGUUGAGCAUCAGAUUUGUGCUUAGUCAUGAUUGGUGUUAUGUCUUACAAAGAACUUGUGCUGCCCUUGAACACAGAGUGUAUCCAGACGCAAAGUCAUUAUUAACAUAACUGCAGGUAUGGAAAACCACCCGGUCAUUUGAUACAGUUGAAUUGUCAUGUUUAGGUCUGUCCAGUCAGGUUUGCUGUCAUAUUACCACUCAGAAUGGCAGAUGCUGGAUGUUUCAACCAUUUAUCCAUUAAGAGUUUAUUCAAUACUUUUAAACCAUGGGGGAGAAAAAGGUGCUUAGAAACCGGUGAAGAGUACAGCGGCCAGGGAACCCUGCAUUGAUCGGUACCUCUCAGGAAGUCAAUCAACACAGACAGACAGUCCAGCGACAAGUUAAUAACAAGUUCACAGGAUACCAGCAUCCCUUGCACUGAGGAGGGAGCAGAAGGUAGCGCCGAGCGGCAGGGCCGAGGGGAGCGGUGAGAGAGUAGGCGGCCGAGGGAAGGGAGGAGUGAUGGGCAAAAACCCAAAAGUGAAUUGGCCUGGGGUUUGUGAGAAGGGCAACUGUUAAUUCAGAUCCGAUAGGUGCACUGGAAGGGCUGAAAGGGACAGCUGAGAAGAAGUUCAAGAACAUUUUUUUAAGUUUAAUUUAUGAAUAUGGCGUGUAAAGGUUUGGGGGUGAGAGCAGGAAAAAGUUAAAGUAUAGUCAAGGCGUUAGCAGGAGAUUGAUAGAGCUGUUUGAGAACAAAGGCAACUCUGAAGGCAGUGGAGGAAGUCUACAGAUAGAAAGAAGCAGGGCUUAGGUCAAAACAUCAUUUAAAAUGAAUACUUAGCUUCCAAAGGAAUGCUGGUACACACUGUGUAUUGAUAACUGGAGCUAUUUUAACCACUCAACCAACUAUUUCAACUAGGGAUGUCCUAUCAAUAUUUUAUUCCCCAAUCAUUUAAUACUGAGAAACAGUAUUUUUUUUUUUACAAAAUACAGGAUAAAAAGAAAAAACUUUUCAUUCUUUUGGCUUUGCCA
rnacentral:lncRNA from 15 species